rnacentral:rRNA from 1 species
GAUGAACGCUGGCGGCGUGCCUAAUACAUGCAAGUCGAGCGAACGGACGAGAAGCUUGCUUCUCUGAUGUUAGCGGCGGACGGGUGAGUAACACGUGGAUAACCUACCUAUAAGACUGGGAUCACUUCGGGAAACCGGAGCUAAUACCGGAUAAUAUUUUGAACCGCAUGGUUCAAAAGUGAAAGACGGUCUUGCUGUCACUUAUAGAUGGAUCCGCGCUGCAUUAGCUAGUUGGUAAGGUAACGGCUUACCAAGGCAACGAUGCAUAGCCGACCUGAGAGGGGGAUCGGCCACACUGGAACUGAGCCACGGUCCAGACUCCUACGGGAGGCAGCAGUAGGGAAUCUUCCGCGAUGGGCGAAAGCCUGACGGAGCAACGCCGCGUGAGUGAUGAAGGUCUUCGGAUCGUAAAACUCUGUUAUUAGGGAAGAACAUAUGUGUAAGUAACUGUGCACAUCGUGACGGUACCUAAACAGAAAGCAACGGCUAACUACGUG